CCAGACUCCUACGGGAGGCAGCAGUGGGGGAUAUUGCACAAUGGGGGGAACCCUGAUGCAGCGACGCCGCGUGGGUGAAGGAGCGUUUCGGCGCGUAAAGCCCUAUCGGCAGGGAAGAAGGAGGACGGUACCUGACUAAGAAGCCCCGGCUAACUACGUGCCAGCAGCCGCGGUAAUACGUAGGGGGCAAGCGUUAUCCGGAUUUACUGGGUGUAAAGGGGGCGCAGACGGCGAUGCAAGCCAGGAGUGAAAGCCCGGGGCCCAACCCCGGGACUGCUCUUGGAACUGCGUGGCUAGAGUGCAGGAGGGGCAGGCGGAAUUCCUGGUGUAGCGGUGAAAUGCGUAGAUAUCAGGAGGAACACCGGUGGCGAAGGCGGCUUACUGGACUGUAACUGACGUUGAGGCUCGAAAGCGUGGGGAGCAAACAGGAUUAGAUACCCUCGUAC
rnacentral:rRNA from 1 species